rnacentral:rRNA from 1 species
GACGAACGCUGGCGGCGUGCUUAACACAUGCAAGUCGAACGGAAAGGCCCCUUUGGGGGUACUCGAGUGGCGAACGGGGGCGUAACACGGGAGUAACCUGCCCUUUACUUCGGGAUAACUUCAGGAAACUGGGGCUAAUACCGGAUAGGAAUCCUUGCUGCAUGGUGGGGGUUGGAAAGCUUCGGGGGUUUUGGAUGGACUCGCGGCUUAUCAGCUUGUUGGUGGGGUAGUGGGUUACCAAGGCUUUGACGGGUAGCCGGCCAGUGAGGGCGAGCGGCCACAUUGGGACUGAGGGGCGGCCCAGACUCCGACGGGUGGAAGCAGGGGGGAAGAUUGCACAAUGGGCGGCAGCCUGAUGCAGCAAGGCCGCGUGCUGGAUGACGGUCUUCGGGUUGUAGACCGCUUUCAGCAGGGGCGAAGCUUGUGGUGACGGUACCUGCAGAAGAAGCACCGGCUAACUACGUG